AGCUACACAGACCUUGUGCUCUAGCCUUUGUUGUCUCAGCUUCCGGGCGUCCAUCAUGCGGAGGCCGCGCACUGGAGCACGAAAUGGCGGUCGAGAGGCGGGGACGCCCGGAUCGGGGACCAUUUCCGACUCCGGCAGGGCGCGCCCUCCACCCCUUGCGCAGGCGCACGGCGCGGCGCGCGUUCCCGCGUUCUCCCGACGCGCGCCAGGACACAAAGGGCUGGAGGGAAAGCCCGGAGCGCGGACGGCACCUACGGAGCGGGUAGCGGUCCGGAGCGGCCUGGAGCGGACUGUCGGGGCUGGAGCCGGGCUCGCCGGAACCGCGCGCUCGGGCGCGGGGUGGGGCGACGAGCGGCGCUCCUUGCCCGCCCCUCGCCCUCGCCCUUCCUCAACUGCCGUAACGGCCUCGCGGGCCCUGUGGGGCGGGGCAGGCGCGCAGGGUGCAGGCGCCGCGCUUGUCGCCGCCGCGGGGAGGGCCGCGCGCCUCCAUUUUCCGUCGCGCGCUCUAAUGGCGGAACUGGAGCCUUUUCCCCAGUGCGGAGGGGAGGGCACGCCCCCGGGGAAGCCCGACGCCUUCCCUAGUUCUUUUCUCGGUCCGCGCACGGCAGCGCGGGAGCAGGCCCUGCAGCUCGGUAGGAAGCUUUGGGAUUGUGGUUCCCAGAGUCAUUCAUAAAAAGCAGAUCCCUCAAAUUAUUGUAAUGGUUUUUAACUUUCUACUUAAAACUGGAAAUGUAGGCGUCGGGGAAUGGUGAGGAUACUGAUGCAAAAACUAAGCUUUAACGAGAUGGGGGAGCCCAACACUCAGCUGAUAGAUGAAUGCUGUGGAACAUGCAGCAGUUGUCCUGCUGGAAGGGACGAAGUCUUCUGCGUUACUAUCCCUCAGCCUGAACAAAUGAGAGACUGCUGGGAGCUCCAAAUGCCUGACGGAGGGGCCAGGAGGCAGAGCGACAAGCCAACCACAGAGGAAGUCACCCAGAAACCUAGGGAGUUGGAAUCUUCUCAAGUGCUUGUUUAAAAAAAACAAAUGUUUCCUAACGGAGCUCAGGGGGAGGUGCUGGGCAGCCACCAAAGCUGGCGUUUGUCAGGGCUUCUGAAGAGGGCCAGGAAGGCCACGGCCACAUGCCUGCCUGUGCUGUGGCUCAUGUGGCUCCUCUCUCCAGGUUCUGUAGAUUUCUUCAUUCUCCCUGGCUGGGAAAUUUAAUCAGCCAUGUGAAGUUUUAAAAGGAGUGAAGUUCAAAAAUUUUUUUCCUGCAGAACAUUUUAAAUCCUGUCCCGAACUAAGGGUUCACUUACCUCCCAAUUUUACUCGAUUAGAAAUUAAGAUAUUAUUUCUUCAAGAUUUACCUGAAUCUAAGUUUUUAUUCUUCAGAAAUGACAUCUCACUAAUUAGAUUCUUAAAUCACUUACCCCAUAGUUUCCCUGACGACCCCUCAUAAUUUUCUGCCACACACUUCUCAGUGGCCGUGGGACAGACCCUUCCAAUCUGUAGUGUUGUAUGAGGAGCAGAUGGGUCGAUACGUCCAUUCCACUGUGGUGCUUACUACACCGGCUUCAUCCUACUGAGGAGUUGGUCAAGCACAGUGACAAUCAUGAUUCUGGCUGUGGUCUGGCUGAGGGUCUACCCCGGUGAGCUGGACUGGCUGACCCCUCGCUCACCAUGCGCACGGCUUCUCAACUCUGCACUCACUGCCAGAGUAGCUGAAAUCAGCCAUGGUGGGAGUAUUUACGCUUUGAAAAUUGGGGAACACUGCCCAUCAUGGCUUUUUGUUGGGUGGCGGAGGUGUGGGGGGGGAUGUGCUUAGGAAAUGUCUGGAGAAAUGAGAAACACCGAAAAUAGUUACCUGUGGGGAGUGGAACUGGACAGCAAGGGUAUUGGAGAAGGUUUUGUUUGUUUUUCGCUCUGAAUUUGUUAUCAUGUGUAUAACUAUUUUUUUAAAAGAGAGCUUUUUGUCCUUUAAGAACAAAGACUUCCUGCCGUGUUUAUUAGUCCUCCAUCACUCUCUGGAAGCUGUCUAGUGGAGGAAGAGAUCAGAGCCUGGGAGGUGUCAUCCUGGUGGCCUCCGUGGAGUGACGUCUGAGUCUAGGGUUGAGGACCAGGCCGAGGCAGAGCCCCGAGGACGCACACUGUGGAGCAGCUGGCGGUCCUUCUAGAACCUCCUGCGCGUCUGAGAGGGGAGCCACAGUAAUGCCAGGCUCCCAGCCAAGACGCCAGGCCCAAAUCACCAAAUCCCAAGGAUUAAACAGAAAAAUGGGUACAAAGGUAGGAGGACACUAAAAAUGCAGCUCUAGAGGAGGAUGGGGGGAGACCUGACCCAGGGCACAUGUCCCAGGAGGGUAACUUAGAUCAUGGGGCUGAUGGGCAGUUUCUUAGGCUGCCCCUGAGACCAUUUCCCCUGCCGUUCAGAUGAAAAGGGGCCAUCAGCUCUGCCCAGGAGGGAAGGAGGGCAAACUGGGGCAGUGAGGAAACAAGUAGGGACAGGUUCCCACAGCUCCCCUGGGGAGCGGCCACAGUCCACAAGGGCUAGGGAAUGAAGCAGGCAGAUCCAGCAACCACAUUGUACUCCAGAGAGGGCCCCCAGAGGCCCUGGGCAGUGUCUGGGAAUGGGGUGAGAGUUCCCCACUGGAUUUUGGAGUGGCUUGGAAAUUCUGAGCAAAGAUAAUGGUGGCCCUAGGUGCAGGGAUGGGCCUCAGGCAGGAAAAUCCAUCCAAGAUGUAGCAGGGUGCAGGAUCUAGAAGGCAGCCCCAGAACAGGCUGCCAGGCCCCCACUGAUAGGUGGAGCCUGGGGCA